AUUGAACGCUGGCGGCAUGCCUUACACAUGCAAGUCGAACGGCAGCACGGGGCAACCUGGUGGCGAGUGGCGAACGGGUGAGUAAUGCAUCGGAACGUACCUUUCAGUGGGGGAUAACGUAGCGAAAGUUACGCUAAUACCGCAUAUUCUGUGAGCAGGAAAGCAGGGGAUCGCAAGACCUCGCGCUGAUUGAGCGGCCGAUGUCAGAUUAGCUAGUUGGUGAGGUAAAGGCUCACCAAGGCGACGAUCUGUAGCGGGUCUGAGAGGAUGAUCCGCCACACUGGAACUGAGACACGGUCCGGACUCCUACGGGAGGCAGCAGUGGGGAAUUUUGGACAAUGGGGGCAACCCUGAUCCAGCCAUGCCGCGUGAGUGAAGAAGGCCUUCGGGUUGUAAAGCUCUUUCGGCCGGGAAGAAAUCGCACGGGCUAAUACCCUGUGUGGAUGACGGUACCGGAAUAAGAAGCACCGGCUAACUACGUGCCAGCCGCCGCCGUAACAC
rnacentral:rRNA from 1 species